rnacentral:tmRNA from 1 species
GGGGCCGACCAGGUUUCGACGUGGGUGCGGAUCCGGAGUAGGGCAUGCCGAGCACCAGUCCGCUCGUAAAACCACUGGAAACAAAGUAACUGCAAACGACUCUACGUUCGCACUCGCCGCUUAAUUGCGCGUGAGCUUCUCAACGGUUGGCCAAUGGGCCGGGCUCAAGCCGCAAGGCAGAAAGCUGAGAAGUCAUUCACAUUGGCUGGUUGUCCGCCGGGUCACUCGGCAGGCAACAAGAUUCAGUGACUGGCGGGAAAGUUAGCGUGCCGCUGCGCGAACUGACCGUGAGAUUCAAAUCAGACGGCUACGCAUGUAGAACUGCCCGGUGAUGGCUUGCGGACGGGGGUUCAAUUCCCCCCGGCUCCACCA